rnacentral:rRNA from 1 species
UGGGGAAUAUUGGACAAUGGGGGCAACCCUGAUCCAGCCAUGCCGCGUGUGUGAAGAAGGCCUUCGGGUUGUAAAGCACUUUAAGCGGGGAGGAAGGGCUUGAGGCUAAUAUCCUUGAGCAUUGACGUUACCCGCAGAAUAAGCACCGGCAAACUUCGUGCCAGCAGCCGCGGUAAUACGAAGGGUGCGAGCGUUAAUCGGAAUUACUGGGCGUAAAGCGCGCGUAGGUGGUUGAGUAAGCGAUCUGUGAAAGCCCCGGGCUUAACCUGGGAACUGCAGGUCGAACUGCUUAGCUAGAGUAUGGUAGAGGGGUGUGGAAUUUCCUGUGUAGCGGUGAAAUGCGUAGAUAUAGGAAGGAACAUCAGUGGCGAAGGCGACACCCUGGACCGAUACUGACACU